UACGUAGGUGGCAAGCGUUGUCCGGAUUUACUGGGCGUAAAGGGUGCGUAGGCGGGUCUUUAAGUCAGGGGUGAAAUCCUGGAGCUCAACUCCAGAACUGCCUUUGAUACUGAAGAUCUUGAGUUCGGGAGAGGUGAGUGGAACUGCGAGUGUAGAGGUGAAAUUCGUAGAUAUUCGCAAGAACACCAGUGGCGAAGGCGGCUCACUGGCCCGAUACUGACGCUGAGGCACGAAAGCGUGGGGAGCAAACAGG
rnacentral:rRNA from 1 species